GUAGGGUGCAGGCGUUAAUCGGAAUUACUGGGCGUAAAGCGUGCGCAGGCGGCUCCUUAAGUCAGAUGUGAAAUCCCCGGGCUUAACCUGGGAACUGCGUUUGAAACUGGGGAGCUGGAGUGUGGAAGAGGGGGGUGGAAUUCCAGGUGUAGCAGUGAAAUGCGUAGAGAUCUGGAGGAACACCGAUGGCGAAGGCAGCCCCCUGGGCUAACACUGACGCUCAUGCACGAAAGCGUGGGGAGCAAACAGGAUUAGAUACCCUGGUAGUCCACGCCCUAAACGAUGUCAACUAGUUGUUAGGGAAGCAAUUCCUUGGUAACGAAGCUGACGCGUGAAGUUGACCGCCUGGGGAGUACGGCCGCAAGGUUA
rnacentral:rRNA from 1 species